rnacentral:rRNA from 1 species
GACAGAGGUGCCGAGCGUUAGGCGGAAUCACUGGGCUUAAAGCGUGUGUAGGCGGCCCGUUAAGUGCCUCGUGAAUCCCCCGGCUCAACCGGGGAACUGCCGGGCAUACUGGCGGGCUUGGGUCGCUCAGGGGGCAGACGGAACAGGCGGUGGAGCGGUGAAAUGCGUAGAUAUCGCCUGGAACGCCGAAGGUGAAAACGAGUCUGACUGGGG